rnacentral:rRNA from 1 species
GUGAGAAUGCCGGAAUGAGUAGCGAGAAUUAUGUGAGAAUCAUAAUGGCCGAAAGUCUAAGGUUUCCUGAGGAAGGUUCGUCCUCUCAGGGUUAGCCGGGAGCUAAGGUGAGGCGGAAACGCGUAGCCGAUGCACAUACGGUAGAAAUUCCGUAGCCUCCGAAGAUUUAAGCACAGGGACACUUUUGAAGGGCUGAGCCGGGCGUUGGUUGCCCCGGUCGAAAGGGACACGAGUGAGUGGAAGUCAGUUUGGAAAGAGGCGAGAAAAGCUGUGUGUAUAUGGAAGGAGCCCGUACCGCAAACCGACACAGGUAGACAGGAAGAAGAUUCUAAGGCCAGCGGGAGAAGGGUUGUUAAGGAACUCGGCAAGUUGACCCCGUAACUUCGGGAGAAGGGGUGCUUACGAAGGUAAGCCGCAGAGAAUAGGCCCAAGCGACUGUUUAGCAAAAACACAGCUCUAUGCUAAAUCGAAAGAUGACGUAUAUGGGGUGACACCUGCCCGGUGCUGGAAGGUUAAGAGGAGAUGUGAGAGCAUUGAAUUGAAGCCCCAGUAAACGGCGGCCGUAACUAUAACGGUCCUAAGGUAGCGAAAUUCCUUGUCAGGUAAGUUCUGACCCGCACGAAUGGUGUAACGAUUUGGGCACUGUCUCAACAACCCACCCGGCGAAAUUGUAGUACCGGUGAAGAUGCCGGUUACCCGCGACUAGACGGAAAGACCCCAUGGAGCUUCACUGCAGCUUAAUAUUGGAUUUCGGUAUUUCAUGUACAGGAUAGGUGGGAGACUGGGAAAUACAGGCGUCAGCUUGUAUGGAGUCAUUGUUGGGAUACCACUCUUGAGGUGCUGGAAUUCUAACCUGUGGCCUUGAAUCAGGUCAGGGGACAUUGUUAGGCGGGCAGUUUGACUGGGGCGGUCGCCUCCUAAAAGGUAACGGAGGCGCUCAAAGGUUCGCUCAGCAUGGACGGAAACCAUGCCAGAGAGUGCAAACGCAUAAGCGAGCCUAACUGCGAGACUGACGGGUCGAGCAGUAACGAAAGUUGGAGUUAGUGAUCCGGCGGUAUAUGUGAGUGGAAAUGCCGUCGCUCAACGGAUAAAAGCUACCCUGGGGAUAACAGGCUGAUCUCCCCCAAGAGUCCACAUCGACGGGGAGGUUUGGCACCUCGAUGUCGGCUCAUCGCAUCCUGGGGCUGUAUUCGGUCCCAAGGGUUUGGCUGUUCGCCAAUUAAAGCGGUACGCGAGCUGGGUUCAGAACGUCGUGAGACAGUUCGGUCCCUAUCUGUCGUGGGCGCAGGAUAUUUGAAGGGAGCUGUCCCUAGUACGAGAGGACCGGGAUGGACGCACCUCUGGUGCACCAGUUGUCACGCCAGUGGCACAGCUGGGCAGCUAUGUGCGGAACGGAUAAACGCUGAAAGCAUCUAAGCGUGAAGCCGCCCUUAAGAUAAGAUCUCCUUUAAGACCCCUUGUAGACUACGAGGUUGAUAGGUCUGAUGUGUAAGCAUGGUGACAUGUUUAGCUUGCAGAUACUAAUCGGUCGUUCGCUUUUCCU